rnacentral:hammerhead_ribozyme from 1 species
AUCUAGCUGACGAGUCCCAAAUAGUACGAAAUGCUCGUUAAACUGGAU